AUAUUGGACAAUGGGGGCAACCCUGAUCCAGCGACGCCGCGUGGGUGAAGAAGGCCUGCGGGUUGUAAAGCCCUUUCGGUGGGGAUAAAAAGCCUUGGUCUAACACACCAGGGUCUUGAUCUAACCCAAGAAAGAAGCACCGGCUAACUCUGUGCCAGCAGCCGCGGUAAUACGUAGGGGGCGAGCGUUGUCCGGAUUUAUUGGGCGUAAAGAGCUCGUAGGCGGUUUGGCAAGUCGGGUGUGAAAACUCCGGGCUCAACUCGGAGACGCCACUCGAUACUGCCAUGACUCGAGUCCGGUAGGGGAGUGCGGAAUUCCUGGUGUAGCGGUGAAAUGCGCAGAUAUCAGGAGGAACACCGGUGGCGAAGGCGGCACUCUGGGCCGGAACUGACGCUGAGGAGCGAAAGCGUGGGGAGCGAAC
rnacentral:rRNA from 1 species